CUCCUGUAUACACACGGAGGAACAUGUGCUUGUGGACUGAGCGGCGAUUACGAUCGCAUUUACGUACUGCCAUGUUUGUUGUUCAGGAGUAUGUUAUGCAACUGCCAACGUUUUCGAAAUACAUUACGCUUGCCUUAUGCGAUCCCGCGCAGCGUUGCCGUCGACAGCGUGAGCGACGUUACGGUGUCCAACGUGCUGUCAUCGCUGGUUUAAUGUGAGGACGAAGGUGUGCUGCUUGGGAAGGAAAUGAGAUGCCAAAGCAGAGCAGAGGCUGUGGCAGCCAACCAGCCAAAAGCCCCCGAACGUUCUAGGCGCUUCGCACCACUGACGCUCGUCCUCUUUUUCUUUGGCUGGCUUGCCACUAAUAGUGCUGCGCUACAGUAUGAAGUCCAGAGCUCAAUUGAGCUGUUGUUGUGUAGUAGGCCAUUUGUCUUCCAUAUUUCUACUUUAAUCAUUUUGCCAAAGGUGGCAUAAUUUAUAGUGUAUUUUACCUAAAACCAUAAUUAUUAGAAUAACGUCGACCAUAUGAGGUUUUUGGACAUGCACCUAAAUCUAAAUGCAUGGGCAUUUUUGAAUUUUUCCUCCAUUAAAAUGCAGCCAUCAUCUCCAAGAAUUGAACGAACCCAUGUCUUUGUGCUUAAAAGUGCUACACCAUACCUGAUAAGGUACCAUGGCGAGUUCUACUCGUGUUAUCCUUGUGUAUGGCUGGUAAAAGUAAGGAAAGUAGACGUACAAAAUCUCCAUUUCAUUUCAACCUGUACAAAAGUUAGCCAUGCGUGGAUAAAUGAAGAGUAUAGCCGAUUUCCAACAGUUGCACUGAAGCAUUUAUUGGAAGUGAAGCUUCUUGUUACAGCCCAGAGGGCAAUCUUACAAUGUACAUGCAUCUUUUUCUCUGUCUGGGUUCUUGUGUCAGCACGCUUUGGUAGUUUUCUUAAUGAGGUGUUGCCAUAAAAUUUGAGGCUUGCGUGUUUUUU